rnacentral:misc_RNA from 1 species
CAAUAAGUGUUUUAUGGCACUUUUUCAAUCCAUAUCCACCUUGUGUGCAAUGUUGUCUUGUAGCGCAAAUGACAAGCAUUCGCGUUACAGGAUGUAAACAUCAACUCUUAUUUUUAACAACUUUGUCUGAAAACCUGUAUGAAUACUUAAUUCAAAUA